GCCCCAAGGAUAUAGCUCUAAUGACUG
rnacentral:piRNA from 1 species